GUGAAUCAUCGAAUCUUUGAACGCAAAUUGCACUCCCUGGUAUUCCGGGGAGUAUGCCUGUUUGAGGGUCGUUAGAACACAUAUAGAAGCGAAGCUCUUUUUUUUUAUGAGUGAUCGCGUCGGUAUUGUGCCGUCUUUCAAAUGUUAAUUCAUGUCAAAGUGGCUUGAAAUUCAUCUAUCCGGUAUGAUUA
rnacentral:misc_RNA from 1 species